AUGAAGAAAGUCUUCAAGGAUAUUCUCUAUGAGUUAGACAAGAAGAAGUAUUCAUGCAUUCAUAGUGCAAUAAGGGAUGAAAAACAGCUUAUCGAUGAACUCAGUGAAUUUCUUAAGAGCAAGACCAAAUUUAUUAAGAGCAAUAAUGAAUUCCUUGCCAACAAGAGGUACAUCAUCGUAAUCGAUGACAUAUGGGAUGAAAAAGUGUGGCGUUUAAUCAAGUGUGCUUUCCCCAAGAAUAGUCUUGGAAGUCGAAUAAUCACGACUACUCGCAUUGUUAGUGUAUCUGAAGCAUGCUGCUCUUCUAGUGAUGAUAUUUUCAGAAUGGAAUUUCUUGCUGAUGACAUCUCUAGAAGGCUCUUCUAUAAGAUAGUAUUCUCUAAUGAGAGGGGGUGUCCUCAUGAACUGGUGCAAGUAUCCGAAGACAUCUUAAAGAAAUGUGGUGGUAUACCAUUAGCCAUUAUUACCAUAGCAAGUCUUCUAGCAAGUAAUCAUCAAACAAAAGCAAAAGAUCAGUGGUAUGAUUUGCUCAAUUCCAUCGGUCAUGGACUUACAGAAGAUCACAAUGUGGAGGAGAUGAAAAAGAUACUAUUGUUUAGCUAUUAUGAUCUGCCAUCUCAUCUGAAGCCUUGUUUAUUAUAUUUAAGCAUAUUUCCGGAAAAUUUCAAGGUCUUAAGAGUUGACUUGAUAUGGAGGUGGAUAGCCGAAGGCUUUGUUCAUAGUGAAAAACAAGAAACUAGCUUAUAUGAGCUCGGAAACAAUUAUUUCAAUGAGCUAAUAAAUAGAAGUAUGAUACAGCCCAUAGGCAUUGAUGAUGAAGAAAGGGUAGAAGCUUGCCGGGUACAUGACAUGGUACUUGAUCUCAUACGUACCUUGUCCACUGAAGAAAACUUUGUCACUAUUCUUGAUGGUACUAUGAGAAAAGUGUCUAACUUGCAAAGUAAGGUUCGCAGAUUAUCCAUCCAAAAUGGCAAGAUGGAUAUUUCUACCACCAGCAUGAAACAAGUGAGAUCUCUUACUUUUUUCACACAUGGUAUAAUUGACAAAGUACAGCUGAAUAUCUGCAGUUUUGAAGUUCUGCGUGUGUUGGAUUUAGAAGGUUGUACUAUUUCAGAUCCUGGGUAUAUGAAGAAUUUAUUACACUUGAAGUACCUACGGCUGAUACAUGCACAUGUUAAUGAGCUUCCAGUGGAAAUAGGGAAGUUGCAAUUUCUGCAGACACUGGACUUGAGACGAGCUCGUGGUAUAAAAGAACUACCGUUGAGUAUUGUUCGUCUACGACAUUUGAUUUGCUUGUACGUUCAUGAGGACAUGAAGAUGCCAUCCGGAAUGGGUAGCCUCAAGUCCCUAGAAGUGCUAGACGAACUGCUGGUAGGCCAGUUAUCUUCAGGCAAUUUUAAUCAAGACACUGCAAAAGAGUUGGGCCAACUGACCAAGUUGAGUGUGCUCCGGUUUAAAUGGAGAUGUAUCAAUGACAUCACUGAUAAAACUUUGGUUGAGUCCCUAAGUAACCUGCACUGA
rnacentral:rRNA from 1 species